GGUGCGCCGCGUCUUGUGGCCAUAGCGUCAGGAUUGGCAGCUUGGGGCCGCCGGUUCGAGAUUUGUUGCAGAGGGCCGCCGCAACGUGAUAGGCAUGGAAAUGAAUGUAAGAAUUGUAUUUGGUACAUUGAGUGGAAUUUAAUUUAAGGUACGUUUUGUGAGGGCUAACUUGGAGGCCCUUUUUAUUGUGUUAUUGCAGCUGGAAUGCCGCGAUUUUGGAGUCAUCAAGUUGGCAAUUAGAUAAGUAUUAUAUUAUAAAUAUAUAUUUCCCAGUAAUAGCUUGUGUUCC